UUGCCAUCUGCGUGAGCAGGGCUGCGUGUCAAGUCUAUGGACUCGACUCUUGCACAUCUACGUCUUAGGUUUGCGCCAAUUCGUGGUAAGCUUGGGUCAUAGAGACUCAUAGGUGUUAUAAAGACUCGCUGGUGUUUGUCUCCUUGAGGCAUACGGCUUUAACCAAAACUCUCAAAGUUUGACCUCAAAUCAGGUAGGAGUACCCGCUGAACUUAAGCAUAUCAAUAAGCCGGAGGAAAAGAAACCAACCGGGAUUGCCUUAGUAACGGCGAGUGAAGCGGCAAAAGCUCAAAUUUGAAAUCUGGCGUCUUCGACGUCCGAGUUGUAAUUUGAAGAAGGCGACUUUGUAGCUGGUCCUUGUCUAUGUUCCUUGGAACAGGACGUCAUAGAGGGUGAGAAUCCCGUGUGGCGAGGAUCCCAGUUAUUUGUAAAGUGCUUUCGACGAGUCGAGUUGUUUGGGAAUGCAGCUCUAAGUGGGUGGUAAAUUCCAUCUAAAGCUAAAUAUUGGCGAGAGACCGAUAGCGAACAAGUACAGUGAUGGAAAGAUGAAAAGAACUUUGAAAAGAGAGUGAAAAAGUACGUGAAAUUGUUGAAAGGGAAGGGCAUUUGAUCAGACAUGGCGUUUGCUUCGGCUUUCGCUGGGCCAGCAUCAGUUUUAGCGGUUGGAUAAAUCCUCGGGAAUGUGGCUCUGCUUCGGUAGAGUGUUAUAGCCCGUGGGAAUACAGCCAGCUGGGACUGAGGAUUGCGACUUUUGUCAAGGAUGCUGGCGUAAUGGUUAAAUGCCGCCCGUCUUGAAACACGGACCAAGGAGUCUAACGUCUAUGCGAGUGUUUGGGUGUAAAACCCGUACGCGUAAUGAAAGUGAACGUAGGUGAGGGCCCGCAAGGGUGCAUCAUCGACCGAUCCUGAUGUCUUCGGAUGGA
rnacentral:rRNA from 1 species